UACGUAGGCAGCAAGCGUUGUUCGGAGUUACUGGGCGUAAAGGGUGCGUAGGCGGUCCUAUAAGUAUGGUGUGAAAUCUCCCGGCUUAACUGGGAGGGUGCGCUAUAGACUGUGGGACUAGAGUGUGGGAGAGGAAAGUGGAAUUCCUGGUGUAGCGGUGAAAUUCGUAGAUAUCGGGAGGAACACCGGUGGUGUAGACGGCUCUCUGGACCGUAACUGACGCUGAGGCACGAAAGCGUGGGUAGCAAACAGG
rnacentral:rRNA from 1 species